GAUGAACGCUAGCUACAGGCUUAACACAUGCAAGUCGCGGGGCAGCAUGGGGGUUGCUUGCACUCCCUGAUGGCGACCGGCGCACGGGUGAGUAACGCGUAUCCAACCUGCCCUUCACCACGGGAUAACCCGGCGAAAGUCGGACUAAUACCGUAUGUUGUCCAUUGACGGCAUCCGAUUUGGACGAAAGGCUUAGCGGUGAGGGAUGGGGAUGCGUCCGAUUAGCUUGACGGGGGGGUAACGGCCCACCGUGGCUACGAUCGGUAGGGGUUCUGAGAGGAAGGUCCCCCACACUGGAACUGAGACACGGUCCAGACUCCUACGGGAGGCAGCAGUGAGGAAUAUUGGUCAAUGGGCGUAAGCCUGAACCAGCCAAGUAGCGUGCAGGAUGACGGCCCUAUGGGUUGUAAACUGCUUUUAGGCGGGGAUAAAGGGACCCACGUGUGGGUUUUUGCAGGUACCGCAUGAAUAAGGACCGGCUAAUUCCGUG
rnacentral:rRNA from 1 species